rnacentral:lncRNA from 1 species
UCAGAGCAGCUUAUGAGAUAAAGACCUGGCCCCCAGGUGAUUUUCACAGACUCUCUCAUGUACCUCCCUCAAGGCGAAGUCGGCUUCGAAAAGUCAGAGACAUUUCAAGAGGGGCAAGAAGUAUGACCUCUUGUAUAGCUUGCCUUCAUAGAGGAUAUAUUGGGAGGCCUGGUUCUUAAGCUUCCGAGCCUCUUUUGCAUC